rnacentral:rRNA from 1 species
GACGAACGCUGGCGGCGUGCUUAACACAUGCAAGUCGAACGGAAAGGCCCUGCUUUUGGGGGGUGCUCGAGUGGCGAACGGGUGAGUAACACGUGAGUAACCUGCCCAUGACUUGGGGAUAACUUCAGGAAACUGGGGCUAAUACCGGAUAGGAGCUCCUGCUGCAUGGGGGGGGUUGGAAAGUUUCGGCGGUUGGGGAUGGACUCGCGGCUUAUCAGCUUGUUGGUGGGGUAGUGGCUUACCAAGGCUUUGACGGGUAGCCGGCCUGAGAGGGUGACCGGCCACAUUGGGACUGAGCUACGGCCCCGCCUCCUACGGGAGGCAGCAGUGGGGAAUAUUGCACAAUGGGCGGAAGCCUGAUGCAGCAACGCCGCGUGCGGGAUGACGGCCUUCGGGUUGUAAACCGCUUUCGCCUGUGACGAAGCGUGAGUGACGGUAAUGGGUAAAGAAGCACCGGCUAACUCCGUG